rnacentral:lncRNA from 1 species
GCAAGGUGGCGUCAUAGAGUUGGCAAGGAGGUCUAGGGUUCAAAACUCAUGGCAAUCAAAGAGUAUUUAUUUUGGCAACAGGGGGCAGCAAGAGUUGGUGUUGAAUUUAAACUCUGAUGUUGGAGGGAUCCCACAUUGGGAAGCUAACAUAAGAGGGGAUGCGAAGCUGGCUUUAAAUAAAGAGAACCAUGAGGAGAGUAAAGGUACCUUUCUUGGCUGAUCCCUUUCACUUUAUGGCGUGCUCGUUUGGGUUGGGCGUCGGCUAAGAGUGCUCGGAGCGUGGAUUAACUCCAGUCUCCAAUCAGGUAAUCCCUAAGCUUAGAUGGUUUGGAGCUGCGAGGGACUCGGAGAUGGCCACACUAUUAUUUCUGUUUCUUUUAAUUGCAAUUAGAUUUCGUUUUGGGUUUUUAAUUUAUGUAAUAAGGCUGUUCGUGGGUUUUAUGUUUUAAUUUGGAUUGUGAUUUCUUAUACUAAACUGCUAGUCUAGGAAAACUCGAGAUUUCAAAAUGGCAUUUUUUUCUAAGGAACACGAGCUUCCAACAACAAAGUUUUCAAAAUGCUUCCGCGAUUUUAAAUGAGGUAAUAUACCAAAGGCAAACAAAUUGGUAAAUGUUUUGAUGAGAACUUUAGUUUAAUAAUAAUAAAG